AAUUCGAUGGCUCGUUUGUUUAUCUCCGUCCCAUGCCCUCACGGGUGGUGGGUCGGACGCCAGGCAAGCCUCGUGUUCCCGGCACGCCUAGCCCAGUUGCAUGGCUGCCUCGGCGCACGAGGCUCUUCGCCCGUGCUCUCGGAUUCGGAAUGUUAUGUGCUGCGGGUGGGUGGCUCAUCGGAGGCACUCCAUCCGGUCAAGCGAGGCAUUUUGUCCAACGAGACGAACGACUGCUGCACCCGUCUUUGGGCCCGCGGCCUCACGGCUCGGCAGGGCUCAUG
rnacentral:misc_RNA from 1 species